GAUGAACGCUGGCGGCGUGCCUAAUACAUGCAAGUCGAGCGAACAGACGAGGAGCUUGCUCCUUUGACGUUAGCGGCGGACGGGUGAGUAACACGUGGAUAACCUACCUAUAAGACUGGGAUAACUUCGGGAAACCGGAGCUAAUACCGGAUAACAUGUUGAACCGCAUGGUUCAACAGUGAAAGACGGUCUUGCUGUCACUUAUAGAUGGAUCCGCGCCGCAUUAGCUAGUUGGUAAGGUAACGGCUUACCAAGGCAACGAUGCGUAGCCGACCUGAGAGGGUGAUCGGCCACACUGGAACUGAGACACGGUCCAGACUCCUACGGGAGGCAGCAGUAGGGAAUCUUCCGCAAUGGGCGGAAGCCUGACGGAGCAACGCCGCGUGAGUGAAGAAGGUCUUCGGAUCGUAAAACUCUGUUAUUAGGGAAGAACAAAUGUGUAAGUAACUAUGCACGUCUUGACGGUACCUAAUCAGAAAGCCACGGCUAACUACGUG
rnacentral:rRNA from 1 species